rnacentral:rRNA from 1 species
UGGGGAAUAUUGGGCAAUGGGCGAAAGCCUGACCCAGCAACGCCGCGUGAGGGAAGAAGGUUUUCGGAUUGUAAACCUCUGUCCUUGGGGACGAAGAAAGUGACGGUACCCAAGGAGGAAGCCCCGGCUAACUACGUGCCAGCAGCCGCGGUAAUACGUAGGGGGCAAGCGUUGUCCGGAAUUACUGGGCGUAAAGGGUGCGUAGGCGGUAUCUCAAGUCAGAUGUGAAAUCCCCGGGCUUAACUCGGGUGGUGCAUUUGAAACUGGGAGGCUAGAGUGCAGGAGAGGGAAGCGGAAUUCCUAGUGUAGCGGUGAAAUGCGUAGAUAUUAGGAGGAACACCAGUGGCGAAGGCGGCUUUCUGGACUGUAACUGACGCUGAGGCACGAAAGCGUGGGGAGC